AACAUCGAAAAUCAGCCAGAAGUCUGCCUCUAGUCUUCAUGACACUGAUGCUGACUGUCUCAUAAACUGCUGUGUACCGUUUCAAACAGGGCUGUCUGCUGGACUUCUCUUGCUCGACUGAAUAAGGGAGACACUCCAACUGAAUAUGCUACAGUGCCCUGAGCGAAAGGCGAGGAAUAUCCAUGAUUAAGCUUCUCCUUUUUAUUAAGCCAUGAAUACUCGGCACCCGUGCACAUUCAGUGGCAAACAUACAGAUGGAAUGGUGUCUUCUCCUCUUUGAUAUUCUUUUGUUGAUCCUAUGAGCAGCAGAUGCAGGCCUCAUGGAGUGCUCUUGGACCCCCUCUCGUUGGGUUGCUAUGUUGGUCCUACCGUUCUCAUAAGGUCACGAGCCAUUUGACAAACUGGGACAUUUUCAUGUCUUUGCGCUCGUUCAUAUCACAACUGCCUAUAAAUCCCAAACUCUGCUACCCAGCCUCCUGUAAACAGGCGGAAUUAGAGGGGGAAGAGAUGCUAUUGUGCCGCCUCAGCAUUUACCAAAGGACAGUGCUCCCCUUAGGUCUUAUACUUUAAUGUCAUACUGUAAGUUAGGGUCUUGGGUGUAUAGAAAAAUGCUCCUGCUGUCAUACUGAUAACAAAACAAUAUCAACCUUUUAUCUUUUGUAUCACGAUGCUUUCAUUAUUUGAAAUGUUCAAUGCCUCAAUUUGCUUAAUUCAUCAUUUUUGCAUGGAUGUUUGCAGUGUCUAUACGGAAGAAUAUAUUAUUAAAUUCUUUUGUCAUUG